UACAGAGGGUGCAAGCGUUAAUCGGAAUUACUGGGCGUAAAGCGUGCGUAGUCGGUUAUCUAAGUCGGGUGUGAAAUCCCCGGGCUCAACCUGGGAAUUGCAUUCGAUACUGGAUAGCUAGAGUUCGGCAGAGGGAAGCGGAAUUUCGGGUGUAGCGGUGAAAUGCGUAGAUAUCCGAAGGAACAUCAGUGGCGAAAGCGGCUUCCUGGACCAGAACUGACGAUCAGGCACGAAAGCUAGGGGAGCAAACAGG
rnacentral:rRNA from 1 species